UAGGCGGAAACCGAAAAGCCUCAAAUAGAGUAGGUA
rfam:Fulvivirga imtechensis AK7 contig9, whole genome shotgun sequence.